GACGAACGCUGGCGGCGUGCCUAAUACAUGCAAGUCGAACGCUGAAGGAGGAGCUUGCUUCUCUGGAUGAGUUGCGAACGGGUGAGUAACGCGUAGGUAACCUGCCUGGUAGCGGGGGAUAACUAUUGGAAACGAUAGCUAAUACCGCAUAAGAGUAGAUGUCGCAUGACAUUUGCUUAAAAGGUGCAAUUGCAUCACUACCAGAUGGACCUGCGUUGUAUUAGCUAGUUGGUGAGGUAACGGCUCAACAAGGCAACGAUACAUAGCCGACCUGGGAGGGUGAGCGGCCACACUGGGACUGAGACACGGCCCAGACUCCUACGGGAGGCAGCAGUAGGGAAUCUUCGGCAAUGGACGGAAGUCUGACCGAGCAACGCCGCGUGAGUGAAGAAGGUUUUCGGAUCGUAAAGCUCUGUUGUAAGAGAAGAACGAGUGUGAGAGUGGAAAGUUCACACUGUGACGGUAUCUUACCAGAAAGGGACGGCUAACUACGUG
rnacentral:rRNA from 1 species